rnacentral:lncRNA from 1 species
UUGGAAACUACAUGACUACCAUGCACGAUUUAGUAAGCAAUGUCACUUUUGAUGCAUCAACUUGUAUGUAUCGGUAUUAGGCCCAUUAUUUUCUUCCUCCUAUUACUAGGCUCAUCACAAUCUUGAAAAUUCCAGUGGCAGCUCAAUGGGGCUGCAUCAAAAGUUGUGGAAGCAAUGGAGAGGCACAGAAAAAGAGAGAGGAUUAGGAAAGAGAAAAAUGAGGGGCUACAUGGGAACGGAUGGACUACAUCGAAAAGGAGGUUGAUUUUUGAAAAACUUGUAGUGAAAAAAAUGAUGCUUAGGAAAAGAGGGGAUGCCAACUUUCUAAGGGGUUUCGACAUGGGGAAAUGAUGGGAUUUUUCGGGAAAAACAGAGCAUGGGGGGCUAUUUUGAAGAAAGGAAGUAUUUAGAUUGAAGAGGUGUGAGAGAAGGGUCCGAAAAAGGCAUUCAGGAAGGAAGAAGUUGCAGAAAACUAGCUUGGAAGAAAAACAGAGAGCUAGGUGAGGGGAUUUUGAGAGCAAAAAUAGAGAAAUAGAGGUUGAGAGCAAAAAAUAGAGCAAGGAUUGGGGGUGGGGGGGCGGUGGUGGUUAGUUUCCUGAGAUUCAAGGUUGUGGGGAAUUUUUUUGAGAGCUUGAAAGGAAAGAGAACGGGAGCAAAGGGCAGAGAAAAGAAGUUGCAUGGGGUAAAUCACAAGUAACAAAGAGAGGAAGUUUACCGGUCUUUGGGAGAUUGGAUGAGCACUUUCAGGUACCUUUUCCAUGCAUAUUUCUUAUUCAUUUUCUUCAUCACUUUGUUCUUCAUUCUCUUUGGUUGAUUCUGAUCAUUGUUUGAUUUGUUUGGAAUAAAUAUGAUGUUGCACUACUUUUCUCUCGUGUUUUGAUCUAAAAUGGCUCACUCUUCAGUAGGAGUUUUUUGGUGACUUUACCUUAAUAUUUACUUUGAACUUUCAUGUUGAACCACUGGUCAUGGAACCCAUUAAUUUCAGCAUGAAAUGGGUUUCCAUUUAAUGGGUUGUUUCGAUUAUCUUUCUUGAUCUUAGUUAUACUCUAUUCUAAGUUGUUCAUUUAUCUGCAUCUGGUAUUUCUAUCUUCAUCUCUAUGUAUUAUCAAUCCAUGUGCAUGCUUCGAGUUCCUCUGUUUUUGCCUCAUGGGUAUUUUCUCCUAUGUUUUGGGUAUAGAUAAGGUACAAAGUUGCGGGUUUGUUAUGCUGAAAGCCAAACACCCUCAAAGCAAGGGUUUUCCAAUUUAACUAGACUGAUUACGGUAAAGGGGCACUUGACCUUGCUCAAAGUCUUGCUGAUUGUGAUGGGUUCACCAAUAUCUUUUUUUGGUUGACGAUGUUCUUGAGUCAUAGUUGGAAAAGUAGUUUCAACUUGACACGGAUAAGGGGACUUGACCGCCAUGAGAGCAGUGAAGAAGAAGAUUCGCUCAUUUUACCACUCACCCGGGCCCGCACAAAUGAAAAUCAAGCUAUGCAGUGACCAUCAUCUAAGCCAAAUCAGCCUAGUCCCAUUGCACCUUCAUCACAGCCAAUUCCCAUGCCAUACAUUGAGCAGAACAUAUCUCAUUUCUCUAGCUCACCACAGCCGUUCUAAUGCAUAUCAUAGUCACCUCCAUUAGACUAACCCAUUCUUCAUACCCGCUAAACACCACUCAAUCCCCUUAGCACCUUUCCAUCAUGCAUUCCUCACUCUUUACAUUCUCCAUAAAUUCAACAGCUCACCAGGAAAGUUUCCCAAAGACGCCAACAUUUCCACCCUCAUUCUCUCUCUAUCAUUUCAUAAAUGCUAACGCAUCACCCAUGCUCACUACACUUUCCGUAUAUCAUGAACCAUCAAAAGUCAAUCCAAGAUUAGAAGACCUAAAAUCCAUAUCCAAUGCUUAACCAUAGCACCCCGGGCCCCCUAUUUCUGCAUAGAAGUAUAUGGCCACCUUUGGGUGUGCCAUUUUCAAAGCCCAUAACUAGUAUGCAAAUGAUGAAGAGGACUUAUUCAAUGCGCCUCCCAGAAAAAAAAAGCUUGAUCAAUAUGUACCAGAUUCCUAAAUAUUCUCUCACCACUUAACUUCUCUACCACGGGCCCACGCACAUAUGUUUCCAAUUUGCAUGUCUACCUUCAACAUGCCUAGAUUCAUUGCACUUGCAUCAUCUAGAGUUGGCAAAACGCUACAGCCCGCUUAUAGUCACAUGCAACUCAGCUUCACUAUGAGCAUAUAGGACUAUGCUGAAAGUUUCAACAUGGAUUCCUUAUUCUGGUCUUGCCUAUUCACUGUCAUUUACAUUUCCCGAGCUCGUUUCAGUUUCAACUGAUGAGAAAGCUUCAUUAAUCGAUGUGGGGAAGAUUUUUAAAACUUGCAAGCCUCCCUUAGGAAAGAAUGUUUCCAAUGAUCAAUCUUAUUACAUGGAAGUCGAAUGAGCACUCAAAUGUUUGACCCAUGCAUGAAAGCUAUGUGAUUCCAGAUGAAGAUGUGCCACCAUCUAAAGUCCAAAACCUCAUCCCUUGCUUCCUGCCACCCUAUAAACUCUUGAGCUCCAUAUUUGCAUGGCCACUUUUGGGUGCGCCAUUUUCAUACCCACAAUUCCAUCUUCCCAUUCUCUCUCAUGCAUAUGCAGCCACCAAACCCAUUUUUCUCAUUAUUUCUUCCACUUAAACUUCUUCCCAUUCUCUCUCAUGCACAAGCAGCCCAUAUGCAGCCCAUGUGCAACCAAUACACAACCCACAUGCAACCCACAACCACCACACAUCCACCACAGCCACAUGCAGCUCAUAUGCAACAUAUGUGCAGCCCAUACACAUCCCACAUGCAGCCCAUAGCAACCACACGACCAUCACACGACCACCACGCAGCCCACAUGCAGCUCACAACUCCCCAAGCUACGUGUCAUCCUCUUAAUUCAUCUUUGGAGGUUAAAAAAAAUUAAUCUUUUAAAAAUUUAAUUUUUAAGCAAUCUCAUUCUCAAAUAAUUUUCAAUUUUUUUUUUUAAAAUUCCAUUCUCAAACAAAUUUUUUUUUUUAAUUUUUUUUCAAAAUUCCAAUUUUCAAAACUCCAAUUUUUAAAUUAUUUUCCAAAAUUCUAAUCUUCAAAUUUAUUUAUUUUUUAAUAAAUUCAAUUAUCAAAUAAAUUUUCAAAAUUCUAAUUUUCAAAACUCCCAUUUUCAAAUAAUUUUUCAAAAUUCAAAAUUUUAAAUUUAAAUUUCAAGAUUUCAGUUUUCAAAUAAAUUUCAAAAACUCUAGUUUUCUUUCAAAUAGUCUUAAUUUCACUCCAAUUGUCAAAUGUUUUUUUUUUUUUUUUUUUUAACUCUACAACUUUUCAUCCUUAAUUAGGGUUUUAGGUCAAAAAAUCUCAUUUUUAAUAAAUUUGCUACAUUUCCCUUUAGGUAAGCACUUUCACAAAUUUUCUUUGAUUUUCAAAUAAUCUUUUGUUUCUCUUGAUUUUAAAUAAGCAUGAAAGCAAUUUUCAUCAUUGCAAAUUAAUGGAAUUUGUGGGAUUAAUUCAUGCAAAAUGAAAUGGGCUUUGGUGGGGCCCCUAAAUAUGAGUUUUCUCUUUCGAUUGUCAACUAUUAUGCUUAAUGAAUAUUACUUGAUCUUUUUCUGGCUUUUUAAUAUGCAUGUGAUAUAUUUUGUAUUCAUUAUUAUGCACUAACUUUGUUUCAUGAUAGUGUUUUAUUACUUAUCUUUAAGGUACGCUCUCACUCUCACUUUGUUUAUUUAUUCAUUAUCAUGACUUGCUUUUGAUCUGUGAUCAUUUUGGUAUACAUUGAUCUCCUAGUUAAUUUUCAUGCUUGCUUCACUUUAUUUAGUAGAGACUCAUUUUUAGGGGUUUAGAGGGGUGAUAUGGUCUUUUACUGUACCUUCUCAAUAAGUAACCUGAUCCCCAGACCCGACUUUGGUUUUCCAUAGAUCGUCUUUUCCAUAUAAGGAGUCACACUUAGGGUUUUAUUUCUUAUUUUAUUUUCCCUUAAAAAUAAAACAAAAAUAAGUGACAACUCCAAGUCUUUUCUAAAAAUUAUAUUUUUCACAAAAUAAAUAAAAAGCGAGUCACGCCAUUGAGUGGGAAUGCAUCGAGCUAAAAUACGGGGUCCACAACAUGGAUGAUAUGCUUAUAGAUGGAAAUGAUUUGGAGUUUUUUCAAACCAUUUAAAGAUGGUUGUCAUCUUCUUUUGAGAUGAAAGAUAUGAGAGAAGCAUCUUAGAAUCUUGGAGUAAGGAUCCUUAGAGAUCGUUCUCACAUACUAGUGGCUCUUUCACAAGAGCACUAUAUUAAGAAUAUCCUUGAAUGAUUUAAUAUGCAAGAUUGCAAUCCCAUUGACACUUCAUUUGCAAGAGGUGAAAACUUAAGUAAAGAAAUGGGUCUAAAGACUCCAAAAUAAAAGAGAAAAAUAACUAAUGUUCCCUACUCUAGUGUUGUUGGGAGUCUAAUGUAUGUUAUGAUGUGUAUAAGACUAUAUAUAUAUUUGCUAUGUUUUUGGGAUGGUGAGUCGUUAGCAAGAAAAUCCUAGAAUGAUGCAUUGGAAAAAAGUAAAGAGAAUUCUUUGAUAUCUAAAAGGCACUGUGGACUAUUCCAUUUGUUAUCAAGGCAAAGAAUUGUGUUUAGUGGGUUAUUCACAUGCUGUUUGGGAAAGUGAUCUAGAUGAGCACAAAUGAAUAUUAAGAUACACAUUCUUGCUUAAUAAUGGUGCCAACUUAUGGAAAAGCAAGAAACAAUUUAACCAUGGAAGCUGAAUUUAUUGUUUGUUCAACUAUAAUAUAAGAAGUCGUAUGGUUGAAAAGUUUUUGCAAGUUUGGGAAUAGUCAAGGAUGUUUUUGAGCCAAUGACAGUCUUUAGUGACAAUCAAUUUGCAACAAUUUAUGUAAAAGAUCCAAAAUAUCAUGGAAGAACUAAACAUCUAGAUGUCAAUAAUAAUUUUUAAAGAGAUAUUAUUACAUGAAGAGGAAAUGAUCCUAAAUAUUUACUUACGUGUGAAAUGGUUGUUGAUCCAUUCAUGAAAUCCAUUCUAAAAAAACAUGUUUUUUGUACAUGUAAAGUCAUUGGGAUUGCCUAGGUUAUGAUCUAUGUGGAUCAUAUGUCAUGGAUCAUUAUUGAUUGGAUAUAUGAUGCUUUAUAUAUGAUAAGAUGAUAUGAGUAUUUGUUAUUCAUAUAAUUGAAUAUGUAAUUGGUACUUACAUAUAUAUGUAUGUCAACAGGCAGAUGUUGACUCUCUCACACAAGCAACCACCCCAAUCAAUAUGUUUAUGAGUUGGGAUGAGACACGAUAUACUAAUGAUGAUAAGUGAGUUUAAAGUAUACAAGAGAUGAUGAGUGUUGCCUUGAUUAAGUAUCAAGAUGAGGUCUAUAAUAAAUGACAUCUUGAUUGAAUGUAAUCGUCCACAAUUACAUUCGCUUGUUUGAACCGGACUUGAGUUUUAGCAUAAAAGGUUUAAGGAGAACCAUAAAUGCAAAACUCAAACAAGCUACUAGUGUGAAGCUCUUAGUUGACAUCUGUAUGGUGGUAGUUUAACAUACACUCUCUAAGUGGAGAGAAACCAUCAUAACAUAUAUUUCAUACUACAUGUAUUUAAAUAUGACUGAUAAGAAAAGUGAGUGAUUAAUCCCUGUAUCCUCACUAUGUGAGAUCCUUAAGGCUUAUUACAAUUAUAAUAACCCAUUUUUAUACUCUUUGUACUUUUGACUAUGUUUUAAGGUGACAAAUUAAUGUUCUUAAUUUGGUAUGUUUUUGACAAAAAUGAAAAAUUUUGUCCUUAUGAGACAUAUUAGGCAAACGGUUAACUUGGAUCUAAAAGACAUGAGCUCAUAAGGAAGACUUUUUUAAGUUACAUUGAUAAAGAAGUGUUCAUGGUCGAUCGGUUAUAUUGCUUUUGUAGUUGAUAUUAUUGUGAAUACAUUUAUAAUGUUAGAUACUAUAGAACAUUGAGGGAUUAAAUGUAUACAUUAAAAAUGUAACUAAAUAAGUCUAGGGUACAACGAGACAUGAUUAUUAUUGUUCACUUAUAAUUUUUGGGGUUAAGCUACUAUGUAUCCCUAAUAGGUGCAUAAGUUUAUAGCUCCCAAAUUGCGGGUGUGCUCUCGCAUGGUCACACGACCCAUUUUCCUGUGUGAAUGACCUUCAAAGGUGGAAUCAAAUGAACUUGGAUGAGUGAUCGGGCUAGUUCAGCCCAUCUUGUGUAAGUGGGAUAUGUUGGGUUGGGUUUGAGUGCCUAAGUGGGCUGACCCGACCUGACUCGACCCAAUAAAUGUGAGAAAAUAAGGGGGC